rnacentral:rRNA from 1 species
UACGGAGGAUCCGAGCGUUAUCCGGAUUCAUUGGGUUUAAAGGGUGCGUAGGUUGUUUUAUAAGUUAGCGGUGAAAUACCGAUGCUCAACAUCGGGGCUGCCGCUGAUACUGUAGGACUAGAGAUCGGAUGCAGCAGGCGGAAUGUGUAGUGUAGCGGUGAAAUGCAUAGAUAUUACACAGAACACCGAUUGCGAAGGCAGCCUGCCGCAGCGUUACUGACGCUGAAGCUCGAAAGCGCGGGUAUCGAACAGG